AGGACUCCGGUCAUCUCUCCAUUCCGGCAUCCACUGAGGCACCAUCCAACCUUGCAGUCAUGAAGAUCUUUUCCUUUCUCUCAGCCUUUCUCUUCUUCAUGCUGCUGGCUGCUCCAGCAUUUGCUGAUGACCCAGUGACCACGGCUGAGUGUCACGAGGCGGGUGGAAGGUGUCAGUUUCUGAGAUGCCCACCAAACGUUUACCGGAUUGGAAAGUGUGAUGGUCAAAAUACUUUUUGCUGCAGAUAAUCUAAGACCAGACAGCCCAAUGACAGAGAGACGACCAG